AAUCCCUUCCCUCUCUUCCCAUCUCACUUCCCCUUUGCAAGCGCGCACAAAUCACCUCCUUUCUCUCCUCUUCAUCCUCUUCGUCUUUGCUUCAAGUUUUUUUUUUUUUUUUUCCAUUCAGUCCAGUGAUUGUUGUGAUCACUGAACGAUCUAGAGUGGCCAACUUUGGUCGUAAACCCUAACUGCGAUUUUUGUGUCACAAUCAUGGAAUGGAACCCGCAGACUCUUCAAUUUCUCUCCGAAUGCUUCCUUCAUACUCUAUCUCCGGCGGCGGAGCCUCGCCGUCGUGCUGAAUCCUCCCUUGCUGAGGCAGCCGAUCGCCCCAACUACGGUCUUGCCGUACUCCGGCUCGUUGCCGAGUCCUCUAUCGAUGAUCAGAUUCGUCAAGCUGCUGCUGUCAACUUCAAGAACCAUCUCCGUGUCCGGUGGGUUCCUGCUACUUCGGAUGACGGCAGUGUGCCUAUUUUCUCCCCUAUACUUGACCCCGAGAAGGAGCAGAUCAAAUCUUUGAUCGUUCCGCUAAUGCUCUCGGCUACUCCUAAGAUUCAAAGCCAACUAAGUGAAGCUCUGGCUGUUAUCGGUAAGCAUGACUUUCCGAAAUCGUGGCCUGCGUUGCUUCCUGAACUCAUUUCGAAUCUUCAGAAAGCCUCGCAAACCUCCGAUUAUGCUUCUAUUAAUGGUAUUCUUGGUACUGCGAAUUCCAUUUUCAAGAAGUUUCGUUAUCAGUAUAAAACCAACGAUCUUUUGCUUGAUUUGAAAUAUUGUCUGGAUAAUUUUUCGGCACCUUUACUGGAAAUAUUUCUCAAGACCGCUUCCUUAAUCGAUGUAGCCGCAAAUUCAGGGGGGCCUGCUGCAAACCUUCGCUCCCUUUUUGAGUCCCAGAGGUUAUGUUGUAGGAUAUUUUAUGCACUGAAUUUUCAAGAGCUCCCCGAGUUUUUUGAGGAUCACAUGAAAGAAUGGAUGACUGAAUUUCGAAAAUACCUUACUGCUAGUUAUCCUGCCCUGGAAAAUAGUGGUCCUGACGGUGUUGCAAUUGUCGAUGAGCUUCGAGCUGCGGUUUGUGAAAAUAUUAAUCUUUACAUAGAAAAGAAUGAGGAGGAGUUUCAAUGUUACUUGAAUGAUUUUGCGCUUGCUGUAUGGACUUUACUGGGGAAUGUGUCGCAGUCUGCUAGCCGUGAUCAGCUGGCUGUCACAGCAAUCAAGUUUUUGACCACUGUUAGCACAAGUGUUCAUCACACAUUGUUUGCCAGUGAGGGUGUUAUACCCCAGAUUUGUCAAUGCAUUGUUAUCCCAAAUGUGCGAUUGAGGGAUGAUGAUGAGGAACUCUUUGAGAUGAACUAUAUUGAAUUUAUUAGGAGAGAUAUUGAAGGUAGCGAUCUUGAUACUAGGAGGAGGAUUUCCUGUGAGCUACUUAAGGGAAUUGCAUCACAUUAUGGAGAUUGUGUCAGAAGCAUUGUGUCUGCUCAAAUUCAAACUUUACUAAGUUCCUUUGCUGCCAAUCCAGUGGCAAACUGGAGGGAUAAGGACUGUGCUAUAUACUUGGUAGUCUCUCUUUCAACCAAGAAGGCUGGAUCUUCUUAUGUCUCAACAGAACUUGUUGAUGUUAAGAGCUUUUUUGAAUCUGUCAUUGUUCCAGAACUGCAGAGCUCAGACGUUAAUGGGUAUCCUAUGCUUAAGGCAGGUGCCCUCAAGUUCUUUACUAUGUUCCGAAGUCAAAUAUCAAAGGAUUUAGCAUUAAAGUUUUUUCCAGAUUUGGUUCGUUUCCUGGCUGCUGAAUCAAAUGUUGUUCAUUCAUAUGCUGCAAGUUGUAUUGAAAAACUCUUGUUGGUCAAAGAUGAGGGCGUCAGGGCACGGUACACUGCAGCAGACAUUAAUCCUGUUUUCCCAAUGCUGAUGAACAAUCUUUUCAGUGCCUUGAAGUUCCCAGAGUCUGAAGAAAAUCAGUAUGUAAUGAAAUGUAUAAUGAGGAUCCUUGGUCUUGCUGAUAUAUCUGUUGAUGCUGCUCACGUUUGUAUUGAGGGGUUGGCCUCCAUUCUUGGUGAAGUUUGUAAAAAUCCAAAGAACCCCAUCUUCAAUCAUUAUCUUUUUGAGUCAGUGGCCAUUCUUGUGAGGCGAGGAUGCGAGAAAGACUUGUCUCUUGUAUCAGUAUUUGAAGCAAGCCUUUUUCCUAGACUUGAAAUAAUAUUGAGCAAUGAUGUAACUGAGUUUUUCCCAUACACAUUUCAGUUGCUUGCUCAGCUUGUUGAGUCAAAUACACCACCGAUUCCACCAAUCUACAUGCAGAUAUUUGUGAUCCUUUUGUCCCCUGAAACUUGGAAAAGGGCCCCAAAUGUUCCAGCACUUGUGCGUCUACUCCAGGCCUUCCUUCAAAAAGCACCAAAUGAGGUAAACCAAGAGGAUAGGCUGACCAAGGUGCUUGGCAUAUUCGAUACGCUUAUCCAAUCUAAAGCCACAGUUGAGCAAGGAUUUUACGUGCUUAAUACUGUCAUUGAGAGUCUUGACUAUGCUGUCAUUGAGUGUUAUAUUUCUCACAUUUGGGCUGCCCUUUUCAGAGAGCUCCAACAUAGGCGGACUGUAAAGCUCAUCAAAUCUCUUUUGAUAUUUAUGUCACUCUUUUUGAUCAAGCAUGGGCCUUCAUAUCUUGUGGAUACUAUGAAUCGUGUCCAGCCUGGUAUAUUCACUGUGAUUUUAAACCAGUUCUGGAUACCCAAUCUUAAGCUGAUUACUGGAACUAUUGAGCUCAAGUUGACUGCAGUUGCCUCAACCAGACUUAUCUGUGAGUCUCCAAUCUUCGUAGAUGCUGCAGCUGCUGAAUCCUGGGGGAAGAUGGUGGAUAGUAUUGUCACUCUUCUUUCACGGCCAGAACAGGACAGGGUUGAGGAGGAACCUGACAUGCCAGAUAUCACAGAAAAUGUGGGUUAUACAGCGACUUUUGUUCGUCUUUACAAUGCUGGAAAAAAGGAAGAGGACCCACUAAAAGAUAUAAGAGAUCCGAGGGAGUUUUUUAUUGCUUCACUAUCCCGACUCUCUGCUGUUUCCCCUGGGAGGUAUCCCAAAGUCAUCAGUGAAAAUGUUGAUCCAGCAAAUCAAGCAGCAUUGCUUCAGCUUUGCAACUCAUAUAGUCUUCCUAUAGUUUGAAUCUCCAUGCUAUGUUUGUCAAACCAACUGCCUGUACAGUGCAUUGGUCUGGUUUCUGCUAAAUUCUACAAGCCAUUGCGAGCAGCUGUGCAAUACUUUUCUCUCUCUCUUGACGUUUUGGUUGAUGAGGAUUUAUGCAGUUCUUGAUGCAUGCGUAUAUGCUGCGUGGUAGGGAUUAGGAUGAAACCGUCGAUGAUAUGAUGGCGCAAUCAGUUGGGUGGUAUAGAGCCUGGGGCAGAGUGGCUUGCUGGGGCUUUGAUUGAGCUAUAGCUAAGGGUGUUUUUGCAUCGCUACGAAGCGGUUCUAUUCAAGUAUUGCACGAUCCAUUUUUGCCGCUUUCUUUCAUAUUCUUAUGGGAAGAUUGGUUGCGAACUCUAAUGAUAAUCCAGCUCGAAAGUGGAUGACAGCUCCAAGCCAGUGUUCGAAGGUCCAUGUGAUCUGUGGGAUUUUGUUGUAAAACUAUUUCACACAAGUUUCUGUUGGCUCAUGUCAUGUCAUGUGAGCAAAUGAACGUUACGGCUCAAUUUUGUGUAAAACCUCUGCGUCAUUGAAAGUUAAUUUUAUUCUUCUCCUUA